rnacentral:lncRNA from 1 species
AUUUUCCGUGCACAAAUGCUAUUUUAAAUGUAGAUAGUGCCCCACUUUAUAGCAGUAACUCAUUUUCUCCCCCCCCAUCAGUAGCUGAUAUUAAAAAGUGUCUCACUCACUCUCGCCUUCUCCUUGGACUAUUUCUUUCAUUUCAAACUACUCAACUCUACUAUUGGCGCAUUAGAGAAAAUGGUUAAAUCACUUUUUUGUACUCUAAUCAUAAAAAGCGACAUCUUACGUUGUGAAAAAAAAUUAUCAGUAAGAGUCGCCUUUCUCAAUUUUGUUUCAAAGCUUAACCAAUUCAAAAAUAAUAUCAUCGACAUCGUCGUAACAACACACGUCCACGUCCGGAAUUGAAUAAUAUGUAUCUGCCAUAUAGAGAUGGAAAAUAUUGGACUCGAAGGAAUACAAGUCUACGCAUAUUAGGAUCGUAAAAUGCAUACAGGCAAAAAUGAAGAAAGAAAGAGAGAUAGAUAGAAAAAAAACGAAGCAAAUAAAAUGUGUGUACACAUAUAACUAUGAUACCUCUAGUGUUUAACUUUACAAAUGUAAAUAUAGAGUAUAUGAAUAUUGUAUACAUAUGUUGUACACGGGGAAAUGACUUUUGACUUUUUUAUAAUUAAUUCCCUUUACCCUCAGUUCAUGUAUUUUUACCUACAAAUGAUAUGCGUGAACUUUAUUUUAUACCAGUAACAAAAAAGUUCACGCAUACUUCAUUUUAAAGGUUAUUCCUAAGAAUAUACACAUAUUUAUACAA